rnacentral:rRNA from 1 species
UACGUAGGGUGCAAGCGUUGUCCGGAAUUAUUGGGCGUAAAGAGCUCGUAGGCGGUCUGUCGCGUCUGCUGUGAAAACCUAGGGCUUAACUCUGGGCGUGCAGUGGGUACGGGCAGGCUAGAGUGCGGUAGGGGAGACUGGAAUUCCUGGUGUAGCGGUGAAAUGCGCAGAUAUCAGGAGGAACACCGGUGGCGAAGGCGGGUCUCUGGGACGGUACUGACGCUGAGACGCGAAAGCGUGGGGAGCGAACAGG